CAGCCGCCACGGGAAAACCAGCACCUCGAGUGGUCAGGAGGUUUAUUGGGCCUAAAGCAUCCGUAGCCGGUUGCAUAAGUUUUCGGUUAAAUCUAUGCGCUUAACGUAUAGGCCGCCGAAAAUACUGUGCAGCUAGGGAGUGGGAGAGGUACACGGUACUCGAUAGGAAGGGGUAAAAUCCUUUGAUCUAUUGAUGACCACCUGUGGCGAAGGCGGUGUACCAGAACACGUUCGACGGUGAGGGAUGAAAGCUGGGGGAGCAAACCGGAUUAGAUACCCCUGUAGUCCCUGUCUCUUAUAC
rnacentral:rRNA from 1 species